UAUAUAUAUAUAUAUAUCAGAAACAAUUAUUAAACAUACCAAACACAUUGUUUUAUCAUAAUCAAGCACUUUGUUUUUUAUUAAUGCUUCUUGGUUAGAAAAACACAGUUUGCUGUAUUUUUUACAAAAAAAUUGAUCUGUUAAUGGUCUUUUAGGAUAUGUUCACACCGCAGGUAAAAGGAUACAAAUAUAAUAUUAUUGUAAUUUUUUUGCAAUGUAAACAAAGAUAAUAAAACCGCAACCUUCAGUUCAAAGUGCAUAUUGAAAAAAUAUUACAAAAAGUAGAUCAAAAUGAAAGUGAAAAUAGAAUAAAACGUAUAGAAAUUGCAGCACUGAAACAAAACAUAGCAGGAAAGUAUCCAAAAGCCAAACAUAUUUUGGUUUUUGUGAGUCUAAAAAGCACAAAUAUUUCAGAUUUCAAUUAAACCCAGAACUUUGCAAAUGCAGUCCAGAAUCUGAUACAUAUCUGAUGUUUUUAGGCAAUCUCAUUCUAUGUGGGGUCGUGUAUAAGCCAUAAUUCAUUCUGUUACUCUUACAUACAUAUAUACACAUGUAUACAUUCUUAUACAUAUACACAUUAUACACAUAUAUUCUGUGUCAUGUAUAAACAGCUUCACUCUUCACCUCUAAGCUUAAUAAAAUUCUUCUUUGUUCUGUUGUCCCUAAAACAAAUGACUAGUUUAAUUUGACACACACACACACACACACACACACACACAAACACACACACACACACGUUCUUCAUUUUCACAUUGAUUCAUAUUUUGUCUUUGAUAUUCUUGUAAUGUCAAACCAGAAAGUAUGUAUUAAUGUGCAAGCACGAAUGUGUGGGAGGAGAAUAUAUGAAUGUGAAAGAAGUUUAGAUGAAACGGAUUGUCACAAUGUGGAGGGAAGGUGAGGGAGGAAGAGCGGAUCCUUCAGGCAGGUAAAUGAACCCAGGCAAGACAGCAAUGGACAUUUGGUUCCUCUUUGAUGGUCAGGAGUGCAGACACGUGUAGUGAUCUGUAGUUUGUAUAUUUAUACACUGUAAUUAGAUCUAAAUAUUAUAAUCAGAAGUGGUUGUUUUUAUCAUCAGGGAGUUUACUUAAACACUCUGUAUUGACUGAGAGACAAGAAAAGAGAGAGUUGGGAUCGUUUAAGAAUCUUUAAUUUCUAUAAUUAUAAAUUCUUACAAUCUACCAGGACUAACUCAAUGAUGGAUGCAUAUGGAUCUGAAUGUUAUAGUGUUGGUGUGUGUGUGUGUGUUUUGUUCAGAAUCUCUAGGCUGAUGUAGCGAAUCUGGUUGUUAUGACUAGGCUACCACGAGGCUUCAGAAGCUGAUGACAUGAGCCGCCAUUUUGCCGUAACCACGUACCCUGUGGAGCCUCCCGUGUAGAUCAGGAAUUGCCAGGUCCUCGGACCUUCAGGUGUGCUGGAGCUGGUGAAACAGCGGUCGCAGCACUACAAAGCCCGUCCGAGGGUCGACUCCGGUAGCAGCGGCAGGCGUCAGCGAGUUCAGCUCUUAUUUUGAAGGAACGUCGUCUUGUUGUUCAAACGACGGAAAUCUCCAGCUUGACAGUUUUCAGCUUAAAGUAGAAAGUACAUCUGGCCAGGCUGUACUUCUCUUUGCGGUGAUGGAUCAAGAGCUGGUUUAAAACUACGUUGAGAGUAUGAUGUAACUCCUUUGAAGCUCAGAUCGAACAGAACUGAGGUUAAAAUGUAACUGCGUAUAAAAUGGCGUUGCCUUGUUUUAUAUCCCCUAGUUGUUUACAAAUCUUAGUAAACCGGAUUGGACAACUUCAUUAAACAACCCAGAUUCUGCCCUACCACAGACGAAAGUUCUGAUUGGAUGAGAGCAAAUGUGUCAUGCGUUUCCAUGUUAAUGUAGAUCAGUCUGUCUGGUGCAGUCCUGUUUAUUCAUUAAACACAUAACUCAUGACAUCUUUAUUUCACAGAUCAUUCACCUGAUUAUUAAUGAUCAACAUAUGCUCUGAUUAGCUUUAUCACGAAUAAAGUACUUUGAUUAAUUAAUGGAAAGCAUUCUUCUUCUCUUCUUCUGUCUCUUCUCCUGGAAUGUAAACAUACUGAAACCAGCAUCCGACCUUGGCGAUUCCUACACGUUGUUACUGUGUGAAGGGGCAGCUGUUAAGGGCAGACAAUAGGAUCUUAAUAACACUACACACGACAGGGUAAACAGGUGUGAACGCAAAAUGACAUGUCACGAGUAUGAACCGACAAAUCCACAAGCAACACACAAGGCUUAUAUACACUCUGGGAUGGGUACUCAGAUAACAAGAGGCAGGUGAACAUAAUUAAGGUAAAACCCAAGGCACAAUGUGACACGGAUGUGACAUUGAAUGAAAUGGAAGACAGACCAAAUUACUGCUCUGUGAUUGGCUGAAAGGUGCGAGGGCGGGUCAUAGUCAAGAAAGAAGUGCUUUAGCCAUGGAUAGUUGAGACGAAGCUGGAGGCUUCAGCAGGCAAUGGGGAUGUUAGGGAAUUAUCUGCUUCUGAAAUGGUCACAUCUUCAACUCUUGAGCAGCAAAGGACAUGCUCACCUCUCCUAACUCAACGCAUGGCUGAAAAUGGUAAGAAAUAACUUUUCAGAACAAACUCCUUUGCAGACCAGCCAACUUGUACCUUUUGGAAACAGCGUUUCAUUCAACCGUGCCUCGAUCCCAGCUAAGUAAACAUGGCAACGUUUUAUUUUGAUGAAAAAAUGAAAGCAGAGUUUUGUUACUUUAUUGUUCUGUUUGUGGGUUGCAUCAGAAAAGGAUACAAUUAUUACUCUAAUGUGGAUCGCACAGUAUAUAUUUGAUUAAGCUGAACUUGAGCAGAGACAGGAGCUCUGCUAAAGAUUAGCUUCACCUGUACAUUGUGCAUUACAGUAAUAGAGAAUUAGGGCAACCUUUGAGGCAAAAACAAUGAAGUCACGUGGAAGUGAGAGUCUUACCAUCAGAAAUGUUUAAAGAGCAAGUAACGUCUAGAUUAACUUUUUUUUGCUGAUGAACUGUAUAAAUGAGUGUCUAAUAGUGUUUUAAAUGUGUGUAUUCGUUAUUUUAGCAUUUUGGUGCAUUUUCUUUAAAAAUUAAAAAUUCUGCCUAAAUACCACAGUAUAGCACCACCUUCAGCUUAAAACAUAGAAUUUGACUCAUUUUGAAUAAAUUUUAGCCAAUGGCUAAAGAGUAAGAUACUACGUAAACCAGUAGAGUACUACGUAGCAGCUCUGUGUCAAAGUUAUAAAAGCAAUGAGCGUCUCGGCCACGCCUUGUGGCGAGUUGGGAGUUGGAUUUGCAAGCGAUUGUAGGAGGUUAGCGGUAGUUCAGCAUUAGCAUAAAGCGUUAGCAUAUCCUAAUCUUUAGCAUAGCUUUUAGUGUUAUACAUACUUAUUUAGUGUUAGCUUGGCUGUUGGAUAGUGUAGUUUAGUUAGUGUUUGGCUGUUAGUGUAAUUAGGAAAGUAGUUCGGGUUUAGUGCUCCAUAUCGUGUUAGUAUGGUGAGAAGGUGUAGUGUAGUAUGGUUGCGGUGGCUCUGUGGGGUUGUACUCCUUUCCGCUGGACUUAGAAAUUAGGCGCCAGUGGUUGUGUGCAAUCGGUGUCUGGAAAACAUUCAGCUCCCGCCUGGUGCUGUAGUUUGCAAACAGCAUUUUACCCGCGAUUCUGCACGUCUCCGUUUGAAGAGGGAGGCUGUGUCCACCGUGGCUCUUCCGCGAUUUAGAUGCAGCCCACCGACUCUGCUCCCCCACCGUGGCAGGCUCCAGUCUGAGGUGAGUAAGCUAAAUAAAAGUUUUGACAUCUUCUAAAGACAAUUCCCUACCUAAAUGCAAAGUCUGAGCGACGUGGUUCACUUCCUUUAGCUAGUCAGUCGGCAAUUCUGCAACAGUGGCUCUAACUGACGCAGCACUAGUUGACAGACAGCAUUACAGCGUGAAAUCCAGCUUGUGACCCGGUUCCGUGAGGAAUUCUGUUCAGGAGGUCGCAUUUCAGGCUCUCCACAUCAUGUGUGACUGACUUUUACUUUAUAACAACGAUCACACACUAGGAAUGUUGUAAAGCGCCUAUGUAGGACAGUUUCUUUUGUAUAUUAUCUGACUUUAUAAACUCCCAACAACAAUGUGCUUCUAUUUUUUUUUUCAGGCUAAAUCUACCCGAGACAUUGGCUGUCAGACUGAUUUAGUAGUCUGCAAGAAUGCACUUGUCCAGGCUGAUGUGAAGCCUUACCCGUAGCAAAGCCACGCAGUUUAGAGUUCACAGCCGCAGGGACCAUGAUGGAAAUUCAUCUUCCAGAAAGUCCCAGAGCAGCGUCCACACCCCUGAAAAGACCAAGAUGUGAGGUGUCUGCUGUUGAUUCCAGUUUCCACCUCAGUGACAGUGCAAGCUCAGUGCAAGCUCAGUGAACUGUUCAAGGUAAAAAAAAUAAAACAUUUCAGAAUUUUUAAGACAACAAUUAAAUAAGUAUGUGAUUACAUCAUGACAUCAUGAAGGAGGCUACUGAUUCUGGCCCUGUGACACUUGGUGGUGACGUGUGUGCUGAUUCACCUGGUGAAUAACUUUUACAUUAAAUAUUUUGUUUUUGCUAUCAAAAGUAAAUUAACUAAUAACCUGCAUUAUUGCAGGACACUCAGCAAAAUAUGGACUCUACACCAUGAGCCUGGCUGAUCACCUGAUAACUCCUGUCAUCUGGUUGUGACAGCAUGAGGAUGUCCUCACACACCUGUAACCUAUCAGCUCAUCUGGCAGAAUAGAGAGAGAAGAGACAACACCACAUCUCCUGUUCCUGGAAAGCCUUCAGCCAUCCUUCGAUGACUGAGAACCUCCAUCAGCUCUGUCUCCUGUCUGCCUACAAUUAUUAUAAUAAAUAUUGUGUUUGACAAGUUU